rnacentral:rRNA from 1 species
GUGGGGAAUAUUGGACAAUGGGCGAAAGCCUGAUCCAGCCAUGCCGCGUGUGUGAAGAAGGUCUUCGGAUUGUAAAGCACUUUAAGUUGGGAGGAAGGGCAGUAAGUUAAUACCUUGCUGUUUUGACGUUACCGACAGAAUAAGCACCGGCUAACUUCGUGCCAGCAGCCGCGGUAAUACGAAGGGUGCAAGCGUUAAUCGGAAUUACUGGGCGUAAAGCGCGCGUAGGUGGUUCUGUAAGUUGGAGGUGAAAUCCCCGGGCUCAACCUGGGAACUGCCUCCAAAACUGCAUGACUAGAGUACGGUAGAGGGUAGUGGAAUUUCCUGUGUAGCGGUGAAAUGCGUAGAUAUAGGAAGGAACACCAGUGGCGAAGGCGACUACCUGGACUGAUACUGACACUGAGGUGCGAAAGCGUGGGGAGCAAACAGGAUUAGAAACCCUUGUAGUCC